rnacentral:lncRNA from 1 species
CUUUCGCCCACCACAGGAACACCUCAGCCAACGCAGGCCAAGGAAGAGGGCAGGAGGAAUGACCGAGAAUGGGGAAGCCCCCCAAACCCUGGAAUCCUCGGCCCACGCCAAGCCACCCGCCCAUCUCAAACCCCAGGGGGGAGGGAGAAGUGGACCACAGGGGACCCUGGACGCCUUGAAGUGUGCAAGGGGGUAGUGGGAAGUGGAGGAAGAGGAACCCCCCAACCCCCACCCGCGAUCUCACGACAGCCCCAAGUGCCCUCCCAACACGGCCCCACUGCGGGGGCCGCGGCGGGGACGGUGGAAAUCCCCCGCGCACCCUCUCCCCGGGAAGUUUUCGGGUGUUACCCCAGCACCCCGAGGGCGGCACCUCCGCCGCCCGCCCGGGGCCAGAAGGGAGAGGGGUUGGCGGGCGGGUGGGGCGCCGAGCCGGGAUCCCGCGCCGCCGGGCGACCGGGCGAGCUGGGGGCAUCCCCACGGAGCGCAGCCCGGCGCCGGGGGUGGGGGAGGCGGCGAUGGGCGGCCGGCUCUCCGGGUCCCGACGGCUCGGGUCAAGUGCAGCGCCCUUCCCCUGCCCGCGCCUACCGCCCCCGGUCAGCGAGGCAGCAUCCGCCGCAGGCCCCCCGCCCCGCGCCCCCCGCCCCGCGCCCCCCGCGGCCCCGACCCCACCCGGGACCCGCGCAUCCGGACCCCCGACUCCGGCCUCGGCGCCCGGCAAGCUCGACGAGCUUUGUUAACUCCUCACUCCCCCCGGCGCCGCCGUCGGGCUCCGGGGGGCCGCGCGCCCCCUUCCUCCAGCCGCGACCCCCCCCCGCGAGCGCGGGCCGCACCUGUGCCCGCCGCCGCCGCCGCCGCUCGCCCGCUCCCUUCGCCUGUGCCGGCGCCGCUCCGAACCCCACACACAUCGCUACACACAGCCCUCUGACGUCACCGAGCCCUCGGCCCGCCCACGUCACUGCGGAGACACACGGCUUCCCGCAGACGCCGCCGCCGUCUCCGGCCGCCCGGGGGAGAGCGAGGGCGGCGGGGAGGGGGAGGGGCGGGGCCCGGAGCCAGCGACGACCCGCGCGCGCGGGCCCGCCGGCGUCGCCGCCGCCGCCGUGGCCUCGAAGCUCGCCGUCCCUCAGGGAGGCGCGCGCCGUCUGGCCUAUGGUGGCUCCUCCGGGCUCCCCCCGCCCCGGCGGCUCGCGCGCGCGCCCCUCCCCCAGGCGCGCGCCCGGCGCUCCUGGCCCCGCGCGCCGUCUGGGCGGCUGGCGCGCGGCGCUGUCUGCGGUGCGCUCGGCGCAGACAGGAUGUUCCCUCCCCACCCCACCCCCCGCCACCCGCCCGCCUUCCUUCCUCGAGUCGCCCAGCCGGCUGUCUGGGGCCGCCACCGCCCCGCCCCCGCCCCACCCGCUGCUCUGUGGUGACGGGCCAGACCCGGGGGCGCCCUGGCCGCUCGGCCGCCGCGCGCCAGGGGAGAGGGGGCAGGGCGGCCGCGCGGUGCACUGUGCGCGACCCCAGCAGCCGGCUGGGCCGGGGCGGGGGCGGGGGGGGGGGCGGGGCCCGCCGGCGGAGCGCCGCCGCCCGAGGUCAGGCGCGGGCGACCCUCCCCCCGCGGGGCGCAGCUGGGCCGCUCCGCCCCGGAGGCAGCCGGGUGGCGGCCGCCCUGCAGCGCCCCCGGGGUGGGCCCUGCUCGCCGGGGCUGCCCCCCGCCCCCGUGGGGCCUCCAGCCCGAGGCCCGCCCCGCCAGCUGCCUGCGCGCCGCCCCGCCCGGCCCGGCCCGGCCGCCUUCCCCGGCUGACCUCUCUCCGCCAUCGGGCCGGGCCCGAGGCUGGCCAAAGUUCCGGCGAAACCGAGAGAAACAUUUUUGUCCCUACUUCUCAGCCUCGCUUCCCUCCCCCGCCCCCAUCAGACUGCCCGCUCGGAUCCAAAGGGAGCUGGAAAUCACACGUUUCUACAGUUUUUACUGAGGGGUUUGGGGGUUUUGUUUUAGAGGAGAACACGCGAUGA